rnacentral:lncRNA from 1 species
AGAAAUACUUUCCACCCCUUGCAUCCAAGAAUUAAAAGGAAAAGAAGUUGGCUAUUCUUUAACCAAGAGAGAAAACCGAAAACACAUUCAACAUCCAUUUUCCAAACGUUGCAGCCCCCUUUUCCAGCAAAGCCACGUUUUUUGAAAAAUGCAAUCAAUAGUGCGGCUGGAAACAUUCCCCCAUUCUAAAUUCAAUCCUGAAAAAUAAAAGCAUUUCAAAGAAGAAAACUAAGCAAGUGGCAACUGGACAAUAUCAGCGUAAUGAAGCAUAAUCAAAAGGAAAAAUAAAUUUCAUCUCAUCCAUAAUCUAUGAAUAUCCAUAUGGUUCCUGCCAAGUUCUCCAUAAUACGUUCCA